rnacentral:rRNA from 1 species
AUGGAAAUGGUGCAAACCACCUCCUUAGCAUUCACUGGAAUUGUCAUCAUUCUCCUUUCCAUGGCCAUCACCAUUCAAGCUUCCGACACCAAGCCCAUGCCGUCAGGCAUCACGUUGGAAGCAUGCAAGAAUGUCUCGAGUGACUUCUUCAAGGUGCGCUCCACAUAUGACUUUUGUGUAUCAACGCUCCAGUCAGACAAACGAAGCAUCAACGCGAAGGACUGCCGCAUCCUAGCUCUUGUGGACGUCGACGCCAUGAAGCCCCAAGCCACGGCCGUGAUGGCCAAGGUUGAGAACUUGAUCCAUGGUGCCACCAAGGACAAGCUCGCGACUCGCGCCCUUGGGUUCUGCCAAGUGGACUACGGUGGCAUGGUGAGCACCCUCGAAAUCUGCCAUGAUAUCAUCCAGAACUUUGAGGUUCGUAAAGGCAAUGAAGGUCCGACGCCCUACGACCUGCCUGAUUGCAUUGCGAAAACAACCAAAGCCAUCAACGAUUGCUCUGACAAAACAAAGUUUACGUCGGUUACAAAAGGGCUAACAAAGGAAUAUGAGGAGUUAUCUAUGAUGAUCAGCCUCAGCAGCUCUUUGCCACAUCUCUACAUCACAUCACCCUGA